UACGUAGGGUGCAAGCGUUAAUCGGAAUACUGGGCGUAAAGCGUGCGCAGGCGGUGAUGUAAGACAGAUGUGAAAUCCCCGGGCUCAACCUGGGAACUGCAUUUGUGACUGCAUCGCUGGAGUGCGGCAGAGGGGGAUGGAAUUCCGCGUGUAGCAGUGAAAUGCGUAGAUACGCGGAGGAACACCGAUGGCGAAGGCAAUCCCCUGGGCCUGCACUGACGCUCAUGCACGAAAGCCGUGGGGAGCAAACAGG
rnacentral:rRNA from 1 species